rnacentral:rRNA from 1 species
CCUACUGGGCGCUUCAUUGAGGCAUCUUGGUCAAUGGCCGGAAGGCUGAACCAGCCAAGCCGCGUGAAGUCCUACUGUGCCAAGCAUUGUCCCCUUCUUUUGUCCCUUUCCCCCCUCCGGCUCGCGCGCCUGACCGAGGGUACUUGAAGAAAAAGCAUCGGCUAACUCCGUGCCAGCCGCCGCGGUCCUACGGCGGCUGCGCGCGUUCUCCGGCUUUCUUGGGUUUCCCGGGUGCGUCGGCGGGCUUUUAAUUCAGCGGUAACAGCCCGGGGCUCCACCCCGGCGAGCCGUUGAACCUGGCUGUCUUGAGAUGUCGAGAGGUAUGCGGAAUGCGCAGUGUAGCGGUGAAAUGCUUAGAUAUUGCGCAGAACUCCGAUUGCGAAGGCAGCAUACCGGCGGCGAUCUGACGCUGAGGCACGAAAGCGUGGGUAUCGAACAGGAUUAGAGACCCCAGUAGUC